CCUACGGGUGGCAGCAGUCGAGAAUCAUUCACAAUGGGGGAAACCCUGAUGGUGCGACGCCGCGUGGGGGAAUGAAGGUCUUCGGAUUGUAAACCCCUGUCAUGUGGGAGCAAAUUAAAACGAUCGUACCACAAGAGGAAGAGACUGCUAACUCUGUGCCAGCAGCCGCGGUAAUACAGAGGUCUCAAGCGUUGUUCGGCAUCACUGGGCGUAAGGCGUGCGUAGGCUGUUUCGUAAGUCGUGUGUGAAAGGCGCGGGCUCAACCCGCGGACGGCACAUGAUACUGCGAGACUAGAGUAAUGGAGGGGGAACCGGAAUUCUCGGUGUAGCAGUGAAAUGCGUAGAUAUCGAGAGGAACACUCGUGGCGAAGGCGGGUUACUGGACAUUAACUGACGCUGAGGCACGAAGGCCAGGGGAGCGAAAGGGAUUAGAUACCCCGGCAGUC
rnacentral:rRNA from 1 species